AUUCCUGUACUUCCGAUAGUAAGUGAUGGAGUGACGGAGAAGGAUAAUUCUACCAAUUAAUGGAUUUUGGGGCAAGGAAAUGAGGGGUCAAUGUAGGCAAAUCCGCAUUGUUUAACCUUGAGUUCUGAUGCAUAGGGAAAGUUUCGACAAUUACCGAAUUGAAUGAUUUCACGCUUCCAAGAAAAGCUUCUAAACGUUAUAAAACUAUAGGAACCCGUACCGAGAACGGACACACGUUCCCAAGAUGAGUAUUCUAAGGCGAGCGAGAGAUCGGAAGA
rnacentral:rRNA from 1 species